UACAGAGGUCCCAAGCGUUGUUCGGAUUCACUGGGCGUAAAGGGUGCGUAGGUGGCCGGGUAAGUCUGACGUGAAAUCUCCGAGCCUAACUCGGAAACUGCAUCGGAUACUAUCCGGCUUGAGGGUUGGAGGGGGGACUGGAAUACUUGGUGUAGCAGUGAAAUGCGUAGAUAUCAAGUGGAACACCAGUGGCGAAGGCGAGUCCCUGGACAACUCCUGACACUGAGGCACGAAAGCUAGGGGAGCAAGCAGG
rnacentral:rRNA from 1 species